CACAUGCAAGUCGAACGGGGAUUACACGGCGAUGCGAUUUCGGUCAAAUCAAGUGCAAUCUUAGUGGCGGACGGGUGAGUAACGCGUGGGUAACCUGCCUUGCACUGGGGGAUAACACUUAGAAAUAGGUGCUAAUACCGCAUAAGCGCACGGUCCUGCAUGGGACAGUGUGAAAAACUCCGGUGGUGCAAGAUGGACCCGCGUCUGAUUAGCUGGUUGGCGGGGUAAAGGCCCACCAAGGCGACGAUCAGUAGCCGGCCUGAGAGGGUGGACGGCCACAUUGGGACUGAGACACGGCCCAAACUCCUACGGGAGGCUAGCAGUGGGGGAUAUUGGACAAUGGGGGGAACCCUGAUCCAGCGACGCCGCGUGAGUGAAGAAGUAUUUCGGUAUGUAAAGCUCUGUCAGCAGGGAAGAAAGCAAUGACAAAACCUGUCCUUGNUGCCCCGGCUGCGUGCGUGCCNGCCGCCGCGGUUNUUCGUNGGGGGCCNGCGUUUUCCGGNNUUNCUGGGUGUUNNGGGGGCGUNGNCGGCUGUGCNNGUCUGGNUGUNUGCGGGGGCCCUCCCCCCGGNCUGCUCUGGNNNCUGUNUGGCUGGNUGCCGGNGGGUNNGCGGCNUUCCUNGUGUNGCGGUGNNNUGCGUNGUUUUUUGGAGGNNCCCCCNGUGGCGNGNGCGGCUUAUUGGACUGUAUCUGACGUUGAGGCUCGAAGGGCGUGGGGAGCAAAACAGGAUUAGAUACCCUGGUAGUCCACGCGGUAAACGAUGAUUAUUAGGUGUCGGAGGGUAUGGACCCUCCGGUGCCGCAGCAAACGCAGUAAGUAAUCCACCUGGGGAGUACGUUCGCAAGAAUGAAACUCAAAGGAAUUGACGGGGACCCGCACAAGCGGUGGAGCAUGUGGUUUAAUCCGAAGCAACGCGAAGAACCUUACCAAGUCUUGACAUCUGGAUGACAGGGACGUAACGGUCCCCUUACUUCGGUACAUCCAAGACAGGUGGUGCAUGGUUGUCGUCAGCUCGUGUCGUGAGAUGUUGGGUUAAGUCCCGCAACGAGCGCAACCCUUAUCCUUAGUAGCCAGCGGGCAGGGCCGGGCACUCUAGGGAGACUGCCGGGGAUAACCCGGAGGAAGGUGGGGAUGACGUCAAAUCAUCAUGCCCCUUAUGAUUUGGGCUACACACGUGCUACAAUGGCGUAAACAGAGGGAAGCGAACCCGCGAGGGGGAGCAAAUCCCAAAAAUAACGUCCCAGUUCGGAUUGUAGCCUGCAACCCGGCUACAUGAAGCUGGAAUCGCUAGUAA
rnacentral:rRNA from 1 species